rnacentral:misc_RNA from 1 species
UGAGUCUUCUUUAAAACUGGCUUUCUUUUUCUUUUUCAAAUUAAAUUUUCGUUUGUUAUUCUUUGUUGCUAUUAUUAAUAUUAUCCAUAUCAUCAAUAAACUCCAAAAAGAAUUCAUGAAUUACACAAUCAGCCAAGGCAAUGAAAUUAUUCAAUUCUUGAUUUGUUUGCACUCAAUACUGACAACGUUGGUUGUUUCUUGACAUCUUGUAGCUGUUAUGAGAUGGAUGGUAAUUGUUUUUCAUACGUGGAAUCAAACUGCUUCGGGGCAUUUUCAAUAAUGAAG